AGCUCCAAUAGCGUAUAUUAAAGUUGUUGCAGUUAAAAAGCUCGUAGUUGAACUUCUGGCUGUUGCGUUCGCCGGCUUCGGUCGCGUCCGUAGCGGUCAUCCGCUUGGGAACUCCAUUCGAACUUUACUGUUCGGUGGAAGGAACAGGCAUUUUACUUUGAAAAAAUUAGAGUGUUCAAGGCAGGCUAUCGCCCUGAAUACACAAGCAUGGAAUAAUGAAAUAGGACUUUUUCCAUUUUAUUGGUUAUUGGAAUUAGUAAUGAUUAAUAGGGACAGUUGGGGGCAUUAGUAUUUAAUAGUCAGAGGUGAAAUUCUUGGAUUUAUUAAAGACUAACUUAUGCGAAAGCAUUUGCCAAGGAUGUUUUCAUUA
rnacentral:rRNA from 1 species